AUUGAACGCUGGCGGCAGGCCUAACACAUGCAAGUCGCGCGAGCGGCGGACGGGUGAGUAAUGUAUGGGGACUGCCCGAUAGAGGGGGAUAACCACUGGACACGGUGGCUAAUACCGCAUACUAUCGGAUAACCCAUAUGGGUUUAGCUAGUAGGAGGGGUAAAGGCUCACCUAGGCGACGAUCUCUAGCUGGUAUGAGAGGAUGAUCAGCCACACUGGGACGGAGACACGGCCCAGAAGCCUACGGAGGCAGCAGUGGGGAAUAUUGCACAAUGGGCUCAAGCCUGAUGCAGCCAUGCCGCGUGUAUGAAGAAGGCCUGAGGGUUGUAAAGUACUUUCAGCUGGGAGGCGUUACCCGCAGAAGAAGCACCGGCUAACUCCGUGCCAGCAGCCGCGGUAAUAC
rnacentral:rRNA from 1 species